GUUUCACUCUCCUCUCUAAAACCCCUCAAGGUUCGCCAUGGCCGUAAUGGCGGAUUUCCAGACCUCGACUCACCGAGCCAAGUGGAUAUUCACUCCUCAUGAUUUGGCUGAAAAGUAUAGGGCUGCUAAUCAAAGAGCGGUACAAACUCUUGAGAAGUAUGGAGCGACACGCAUGGAAGUAGAUGUCGAUGGUACGUUGC